rnacentral:rRNA from 2 species
CAUUAUACCGUGAAACUGCGAAUGGCUCAUUAAAUCAGUUAUCGUUUAUUUGAUAGUACCUUACUACUUGGAUAACCGUGGUAAUUCUAGAGCUAAUACAUGCUGAAAACCCCAACUUCGGGAGGGGUGUAUUUAUUAGAUAAAAAACCAACGCCCUUCGGGGCUUCUUGGUGAUUCAUGAUAACUUCACGGAUCGCAUGGCCUUGCGCCGGCGACGGUUCAUUCAAAUUUCUGCCCUAUCAACUUUCGAUGGUAAGGUAUUGGCUUACCAUGGUUUCAACGGGUAACGGGGAAUUAGGGUUCGAUUCCGGAGAGGGAGCCUGAGAAACGGCUACCACAUCCAAGGAAGGCAGCAGGCGCGCAAAUUACCCAAUCCCGACACGGGGAGGUAGUGACAAUAAAUACUGAUACAGGGCUCUUUUGGGUCUUGUAAUUGGAAUGAGUACAAUUUAAACCUCUUAACGAGGAACAAUUGGAGGGCAAGUCUGGUGCCAGCAGCCGCGGUAAUUCCAGCUCCAAUAGCGUAUAUUAAAGUUGUUGCAGUUAAAAAGCUCGUAGUUGAAACUUGGGCCUGGCUGGCAGGUCCGCCUCACCGCGUGUACUUGUCCGGCCGGGCCUUUCCUUCUGGAGAACCUCAUGCCCUUCACUGGGUGUGUUGGGGAACCAGGACUUUUACUUUGAAAAAAUUAGAGUGUUCAAAGCAGGCCUUUGCUCGAAUACGUUAGCAUGGAAUAAUAGAAUAGGACGUGCGGUCCUAUUUUGUUGGUUUCUAGGACCGCCGUAAUGAUUAAUAGGGACAGUCGGGGGCAUCAGUAUUCAAUUGUCAGAGGUGAAAUUCUUGGAUUUAUUGAAGACUAACUACUGCGAAAGCAUUUGCCAAGGAUGUUUUCAUUAAUCAGUGAACGAAAGUUAGGGGAUCGAGACGAUCAGAUACCGUCGUAGUCUUACCGUAACUAUG